ACGCUCGACACCUACGGGAGGUAGCAGUUGGGAAUAUUGGACAAUGGAGGAAACUCUGAUCCAGUGACGCCGCGUGAAGGAAGAAGGUCUUCGGAUUGUAAACUUAUUUUGUCAGGGAAGAAAAAUGACUGUACCUGAAGAAAAAGCACCGGCUAACUACGUGGCAGCAGCCGCGGUAAUCUGAGCGGGCUGGCAAGGC
rnacentral:rRNA from 1 species